UGGGGAAUAUUGCACAAUGGGGGAAACCCUGAUGCAGCGACGCCGCGUGAGCGAAGAAGGUUUUCGAAUCGUAAAGCUCUGUCCUAUGGGAAGAUAAUGACGGUACCAUAGGAGGAAGCUCCGGCUAACUACGUGCCAGCAGCCGCGGUAAUACGUAGGGGGCAAGCGUUGUCCGGAAUCACUGGGCGUAAAGGGUUCGCAGGCGGAAAUGCAAGUCAGGUGUAAAAGGCAGUAGCUUAACUACUGUAAGCAUUUGAAACUGCAUAUCUUGAGAAGAGUAGAGGUAAGUGGAAUUUUUAGUGUAGCGGUGAAAUGCGUAGAUAUUAAAAAGAAUACCGGUGGCGAAGGCGACUUACUGGGCUCAUUCUGACGCUGAGGAACGAAAGCGUGGGUAGCAAACAGG
rnacentral:rRNA from 1 species